CGCAUGGGGAACCGUAUCUGAUGGGGAAACGCGGAUUGACAGAACACCGGUAUGUAUAAUCACUGCGUUGAUACCCGACUGUAUAAUGACUCCACAGAAUGAGUCACAUUUGUGUCAAUCAGACUCUGCAGGAACGUUCUGAUGUCCGUGAUGAGGACAGAGAUGCAACUGUGUCUGCUUCCAGGACCUACUGCCAGUCAUCCAGAUGUAGCUAAAGAAAGGAGCAGGUGAGAUUUAU